GACGUAGGGCGCGAGCGUUUGUCCGGAUUUAUUGGGCGUAAAGAGCUCGUAGGCGGUGUGUCACGUCGGCCGUGAAAACCUGGGGCUUAACUCUGGGCGUGCGGUCGAUACGGGCAUCACUAGAGUUCGGCAGGGGAGACUGGAAUUCCUGGUGUAGCGGUGAAAUGCGCAGAUAUCAGGAGGAACACCGGUGGCGAAGGCGGGUCUCUGGGCCAUAAACUGACGCUGGAGGAGCGAAAGCGUGGGGAGCGAACAGG
rnacentral:rRNA from 1 species